GAUGAAGAACGUAGCGAAAUGCGAUAAGUAAUGUGAAUUGCAGAAUUCAGUGAAUCAUCGAAUCUUUGAACGCACAUUGCGCCCGCCAGUAUUCUGGCGGGCAUGCCUGUUCGAGCGUCAUUACAACCCUCAGGCCCCCGGGCCUGGCGUUGGGGAUCGGCGGAAGCCCCCUGCGGGCACAACGCCGUCCCCCAAAUACAGUGGCGGUCCCGCCGCAGCUUCCAUUGCGUAGUAGCUAACACCUCGCAACUGGAGAGCGGCGCGGCCACGCCGUAAAACACCCAACUUCUGAAUGUUGACCUCGAAUCAGGUAGGAAUACCCGCUGAACUUACGCAUAUCAAUAAGCGGAGGA
rnacentral:misc_RNA from 1 species